UACAGAGACUGCAAGCGUUAUUCGGAUUCACUGGGCGUAAAGGGUGCGCAGGUGGUUGUGUGUGUCAGAUGUGAAAUCCCGGAGCUUAACUCCGGAACUGCGUCUGAAACUGCACGACUAGAGCAUUGGAGAGGGUAGUGGAAUUCACGGUGUAGCAGUGAAAUGCGUAGAUAUCGUGAGGAACACCAGAGGCGAAGGCGACUACCUGGCCUGCAACUGACGCUGAGACGCGAAAGCGUGGGGAGCAAACAGG
rnacentral:rRNA from 1 species